GACGAACGCUGGCGGCGUGCUUAACACAUGCAAGUCGAACGGAAAGGCCCUGCUUGCAGGGUACUCGAGUGGCGAACGGGCGAGUAACACGUGGGUGCUCUGCCCUGCACUUUGGGAUAAGCCUGGGAAACUGGGUCUAAUACCGGAUAGGAGCCAUUUCUAGUGGGAUGGUUGGAAAGUUUUUUCGGUGUAGGAUGAGCUCGCGGCCUAUCAGCUUGUUGGUGGGGUAAUGGCCUACCAAGGCGGCGACGGGUAGCCGGCCGGAGGGGGUGGACGGCCACAUUGGGACCUAGGUACGGCCCAGGCGCCUACGGGAGGCAGAAGUGGGGAAGAUUGCACAAGGGGCGCAAGCCGGGUGCAGCGACGCCGCGUGGGGGAUGACGGCCUUCGGGUUGAAAACUCCUUUCGCUAGGGACGAAGCUUUUUGUGACGGUACCUAGAUAAGAAGCACCGGCUAACUACGUG
rnacentral:rRNA from 1 species